rnacentral:rRNA from 1 species
GCUUGUCUCAAAGAUUAAGCCAUGCAUGUCUCAGCAUAAGCUUCAACACGGUGAAACUGCAAAUGGCUCAUUAAAGCAGUUACAAUUUAUUUGAUGGUCACUGUUACAUGGAUAACUGUGGUAAUUCUAGAGCUAAUACAUGCGUCAAAACCCGACUCCUGGGAGGGUUGUAUUUAUUAGAUGGAAACCAAUGCGGGGCAACCCGGUAUAUGGUGAUUCAUAAUAACUUUCGGAUCGAUCUUCGGAUCGAUGCAUCAUUCAAGUUUCUGCCCUAUCAGCUUUGGAUGGUAGGGUAUUGGCCUACCAUGGCUUUAACGGGUAACGGAGAAUUAGGGUUCGAUUCCGGAGAGGGAGCCUGAGAAAUGGCUACCACAUCCAAGGAAGGCAGCAGG